rnacentral:rRNA from 1 species
GUGCCAGCCGCCGCGGUAAUACGUAGGUGGCAAGCGUUAUCCGGAAUUAUUGGGCGUAAAGCGCGCGUAGGCGGUUUUUUAAGUCUGAUGUGAAAGCCCACGGCUCAACCGUGGAGGGUCAUUGGAAACUGGAAAACUUGAGUGCAGAAGAGGAAAGUGGAAUUCCAUGUGUAGCGGUGAAAUGCGCAGAGAUAUGGAGGAACACCAGUGGCGAAGGCGACUUUCUGGUCUGUAACUGACGCUGAUGUGCGAAAGCGUGGGGAUCAAACAGG